UCAUAUGUACAUUCCCACAACAUUAAUGGACUAGAUCCCAUUAGAAUUUUGCAGUUAAGUGUGCUUGGGAUAGAGUAGUACUGGGAUGGGUGACCUCUCAAGAAUUCAUAGUUUUUUACAUGCC
rfam:Picea glauca, whole genome shotgun sequence.